rnacentral:lncRNA from 1 species
GCCAGAAAUCGUCUGGACUACUUCCUGCUUGUAAUCUAUCAUUUCUCUGUUCCUUUUUGUUGUCUGCAUCAUUUAGAAAUAUUACUAGAGUUAGUUUGUAUUUUGUAUUUUGUUUGUUUAUUAACAUUUUUUUUUUUCUCCAUGCCAUAGAGAAAAGUAUUGAAUAUGGUCUUGGACAAGAAAGGUUCUCUGUAGCACUGCACUGGUGAAAUGUGAUAGCAAUGGAGCUGUGUCACCACUGGGAUUACUUUUGCCCUGAAUAGUCUUUCACAAAUGAGAAAUAAAGAAAUAUUAUAUUAUUUUUUAUCUCUACUUUAGCACAGACGUAUUUUACAUACCACUGUACUGCAUUUAUUAAUGUAUGAAAUCUGUUAAUUAUUAUUGAAGGCAUUUGCAGUGUUGACCAGUUCCCCUCUGCUUAUAUAAGCUAUGACAACAAAGCCUAUGGACUAGCUAAAACUUUCUCACUACCUAUCACUGUGGAUAGGAAAACCUGUCAUGCAGGCCUUUAAGCAAAUCCCCCAAGGACUUUAUCACGCACAACAUCAGAGGUUCUUGUUGCAUAUUCAUACCUAUCCAGUGUGGCAACUCCUGCAUGGCCUAAUGAAUAGAACACAGGUUUAUUUUAAUGGCAAAUACAGGAUAGGGAAAAAAUGAUGGAAUAAUUUUCUUGGCUCAUUUUCAUUAUGCCUCAGCUUUGGACUGAACUUUAAAAGGUAAAUCACCCAACUUUUGACUACACAAGAAUUUAAAUAACU